rnacentral:rRNA from 1 species
UACGGAGGGGGCCAGCGUUGUUCGGAAUUAUUGGGCGUAAAGGGCUCGUAGGCGGUUUGUCACGUCGGGAGUGAAAACUCGGGGCUUAACCCCGAGCCUGCUUCCGAUACGGGCAGACUAGAGGUAUGCAGGGGAGAACGGAAUUCCUGGUGUAGCGGUGAAAUGCGCAGAUAUCAGGAGGAACACCGGUGGCGAAGGCGGUUCUCUGGGCAUUACCUGACGCUGAGGAGCGAAAGUGUGGGGAGCGAACAGG